CUUAACAACAAACCUUUUUUUUUUAAAGAAAAUGUAUUGAAACACGACCAUCACUACAAACUGGGAAGUUGAAGAAAUACAUGAUAACAAUGUGGCCACCUACUUAAAUUUAGGAAUUUUCACAAAGAUUAAAAACUAUAAUAUUACAGUUUGUUGAUUUGAUCACAUUAAUAUGUUUAAAGAAGAAAGGUGUUGUACAAAAUAAAAAACCAAUCAUGAUUCAUUUGCUGGAGUAUAAAGAUCCCGAACUGUACUGCUUAAAGGAGCAACAGUGGAUAGAUAACACAAACUUGGGUACAUAUAACUUAAAGGGAUUUUAACAUUGGGUGACAUAAAGUAACUGAAAAAUAAGCCAUUAGAGAAGAAAAAAAUGAACAAGGUUGGAGUACAAGGAACUUGAAAGUCUGAGAAGGUGAAAAAUUAGAAAAGUAAAAACAGACGGGUGUUAACAAUAGUUGUAUAGAAACCCUGAUAUUUUGUCAAUAAAAGUGAAUAUAUAUAUAUAAUAUUUAAACUUGUUUAAAGAAAAACUGUGAGUAGAUGUUAAAACUGGCUAGAACAUGAAAAAAGGAUACUUUAUUUUCCAUCAGCCAGCAGUUCUAAAUUUGUUAAAUUGAGGUGACAAGAUGUGAUUCCACAAUCUUUAGCUGAUUUUAGAAGCUGUCGUACGGGUAUCAGAGUUUGUUUCUGGUUAGUGGUGUGAGAAAGAUAUUUGUUUAAUAUUUUAAUUAGUUCCAAAAUAAUUUAAGCAUGCACGAUUUCAUGCUUCAUAGUAAUGGUUGAUCUCAGUUUUAUGUUAGCAGGUAACUUGUGCAGAUCACAGUUGUGUGUCAAUAGAUAAAUGUAUUAAUCACACCUGUAAGUUAACAUGACUGUUGUACUUAUCACAGCAUAUCUUUGUAGGUAAAUGUUCUUAUCACAACUGAAAGUUAAAUGACUGUUGUGUUUAUCACAACUAUAUUUUAGAAAAUGUUGGUGACCUAUGUGUUUCCUUUAAAAUAAAUGUGGAGAAAAUCUGCAUUAAUAUUAAGUUAUCAAAUUCUUCUAGAAAACAACCAAUGAGUGUUGCUUUAUUGAGAAGAACUGUUUAGUAUUGAAGUUAUGGUACAUUUAGUUUUAUUAGGACUGUUUAGUAUUGAAGUUACAGUACAUUGUUUUGUUGGGACUGUUUAGUUUUAAAGAAGUUACAGUACAUUUAGUUUUAUUGGGACUGUUUAGUAUUGAAGUUACAGUACAUUUUGUUUUAUUGGGACUGUUUAGUAUCAAGUAAGCUAUAUCACAUUUAGUUUUAUUGGGACUGUGUAGUAUUAAAUAAGUUACAAUAUAUUUAGUUUUAUUGGGACUGUUUAGUAUUAAAUAAGUUACAAUACAUUUAGUUUUAUUGGGACUGUUUAGUAUUAAAUAAGUUACAAUACAUUUAGUUUUAUUGGGACUGUUUAGUGUUAAAGUUACAGUAGAUUUAGUUUUAUUGGGACUGCUUUGAUUUAAAGAAGUUACAAUACUUUUAGUUUACUGAAAGUUCACUAGACUACAUGCCUGCUUCUUCAUAACAUCCAUGCUUUUAAACCUUUUUGCAAUCUUAUCUGAAAACACAUUGAUUUUUUUAUCUUAGGUUAAUAACUUUGUUGUAGAAGGAAAGGUUUUAUUAUUCUAAAGGUUUUAGCUGUACUUCUUUCUAUGCAAAUCUUUUCAUACUCUGAUCUCAUUUUUCAGACUAUGAUUGCUUAUCCUUAGUUUAUGGAAGGUAUGUAGUACAUAUUGUAACAGAUGAAAAAUUUAAUGCACAGUGAGAUGGUCAUGGUGUAUUGUGUGACUGUCACCUUUAUUACCUUAUGUUGCAAUAGGUAUAUUACAUAAUAUUUUUUCAUGAGGUGUUAUUUUGUGUGGUAAACCAUGCCAGUUGUCAGUAAGGUUUGAGACAGUGAGUUCUGUAUUAACAAUAAUUAUUUUUGGAUGUUCUUUCAUAAAUCUUUUUUAGAAACACUAGGAAUGGUGGGUAUAGAUAGGAGAACUGACAGUUUAGGAAUUAUUUACAACAAAUCGGCCUUUUGCUAUAUAUAUAUUUGUAGUUAGUUUGUGAAACUAAUACUGUUUAUGUAGAAUUUUUUAAACAGUUCAACAGGUUGUAUUUUAAGAACUUUGAGGUUUAUGCUGAAAUCACAAGCUGUAUUUUAAUGUCAGUUCAGAUCAACAGGUCUAUUCAGAUCAUAUAUGAAGAGCUCUGUGUUGACUUUACAAGCUGUAUUCUAGAAUUCAGUAAUCUGUAUCUUGUCAGUUCACAUAAACGGGUGUACUCGGAUCAUAUCUCAAUAACUUUGAUAUCUAUGCUGACUUAAGACAGUUUUCUGUGUUUUGGUAAUCUGUAUCUUGUCAGUUCACAUAAACGGGUGUACUCGGAUCAUAUCUCAAUAACUUUGAUAUCUAUGCUGACUUAAGACAGUUUUCUGUUUUGGUAAUCUUUAUCUUGUCAGUUCAUAUAAACAGGUGUACUCGGAUCAUAUCUCAAUAACUUUGAUAUCUAUGCUGACUUAACAGUUUUCUGUGUUUUGGUAAUCUUUAUCUUGUCAGUUCACAUAAACGGGUGUACUCGGAUCAUAUCUCAAUAACUUUGAUAUCUAUGCUGACUUAAGACAGUUUUCUGUGUUUAUCUUGUAAAAUUAUAUUUUUACUGAAGUCUUAGAUCAAUUCACAGCUUCACCUUGAUCUGAUCCUGAUCAGCUUUGUAUGUUCUAAACUUGUACCCUGGGGCUUUAUGGCACAUCUUAUUGUGGCACUUGUAAAAUGUAGUCUUGAUGUUUGUCAAAAUUAUCAAAACCCCUGUCUCACAAAAUACAUUUAGUGUGUACCUCAAAGUUUGUUGAGAAAAUUAAUAACACUUUCAUAUUUAAAAUUGAUUUUUUCUUUAAUUCCUACAACCAAAUUGUCAUAAAUCCUCUACUCUCUUAAGCAUAUUUGUUAUUUACUAAGUAAUAUCUUAGGAUUUGGUGAAAUUAAUGUUGUAUUUACCUGAAUGUUACAUGUAAUUUUUGAAAACUGUAUUAUUUGUAGAAAUUUAUCUAAUCUCUUGCUGCUCUGUAUGGGAAAUAGUAUUAUGGUCUUUGCUUUCCUAAUGGAAAGUAAAUAAAUCUCAUUUUAUAAAAAGACUUUUCAUGCGAUGGUCACAUUUUGCAAGUUUGUAAGAAAGUGUUGUGUUUUUCUGUUUUAUCAGAGACCAAAAAUAAAUUAUUAUAUUGUGA